ensembl:rRNA 5S_rRNA 5S ribosomal RNA
GUCGACGCCCUUAGCACCCUGAACGCGCCCGAUCUCGUCUGAUCUUGGAAGCUAAGCAGGGUCGUGCCUGCUUAGUGCUUGGAUGGGAGACCGCCUGGGAAUACUGGGUGCUCUGGCU